rnacentral:rRNA from 1 species
UACGAAGGGGGCAAGCGUUGUUCGGAAUUACUGGGCGUAAAGCGCACGUAGGCGGCUUUGUAAGUUAGAGGUGAAAGCCCGGGGCUCAACUCCGGAAUUGCCUUUAAGACUGCAUCGCUAGAAUUGUGGAGAGGUAAGUGGAAUUCCGAGUGUAGAGGUGAAAUUCGUAGAUAUUCGGAAGAACACCAGUGGCGAAGGCGACUUACUGGACACAUAUUGACGCUGAGGUGCGAAAGCGUGGGGAGCAAACAGG